rnacentral:rRNA from 1 species
UACGUAGGGGGGCAAGCGUUUGUCCGGAAUUAUUGGGCGUAAAGAGCGUGUAGGCGGUCCGGUAAGUCAGCUGUGAAAGUCAAGGGCUCAACCCUUGAAUGCCGGUUGAUACUGUCGGGCUAGAGUCCGGAAGAGGCGAGUGGAAUUCCCGGUGUAGCGGUGAAAUGCGCAGAUAUCGGGAGGAACACCAAUGGCGAAGGCAGCUCGCUGGGACGGUACUGACGCUGAGACGCGAAAGCGUGGGGAGCAAACAGG